AGGCUAGCGGCAGGCUAACACAUGCAAGUCGAGGGGUAGAGGAAGCUUGCUUCCUUGAGACCGGCGCACGGGUGCGUAACGCGUAUGCAAUCUGCCUUGUACUGAGGGAUAGCCCAGAGAAAUUUGGAUUAAUACCUCAUAGCAUUAUGAAAUCGCAUGGUUUUAUAAUUAAAGUUCCAACGGUACAAGAUGAGCAUGCGUCCCAUUAGUUAGUUGGUAAGGUAACGGCUUACCAAGACGAUGAUGGGUAGGGGUCCUGAGAGGGAGAUCCCCCACACUGGUACUGAGACACGGACCAGACUCCUACGGGAGGCAGCAGUGAGGAAUAUUGGUCAAUGGACGCAAGUCUGAACCAGCCAUGCCGCGUGCAGGAUGAAGCAUCUAUGGUGUGUAAACUGCUUUUGUACGGGAAGAAACACUCCUACGUGUAGGAGCUUGACGGUACCGUAAGAAUAAGGAUCGGCUAACUCCGUGCCAGCAGCCGCGGUAAUACGGAGGAUCCAAGCGUUAUCCGGAAUCAUUGGGUUUAAAGGGUCCGUAGGCGGCUUUAUAAGUCAGUGGUGAAAGCCCAUCGCUUAACGAUGGAACGGCCAUUGAUACUGUAGAGCUUGAAUUACUUGGAAGUAACUAGAAUAUGUAGUGUAGCGGUGAAAUGCUUAGAUAUUACAUGGAAUACCAAUUGCGAAGGCAGGUUACUACAAGUGGAUUGACGCUGAUGGACGAAAGCGUGGGGAGCGAACAGGAUUAGAUACCCUGGUAGUCCACGCCGUAAACGAUGGAUACUAGCUGUUCGGAGCAAUCUGAGUGGCUAAGCGAAAGUGAUAAGUAUCCCACCUGGGGAGUACGCACGCAAGUGUGAAACUCAAAUGAAUUGACGGAAAGGCGAAUUCUGCAGA
rnacentral:rRNA from 1 species